GACAGAGGGGGCAAGCGUUGCUCGGAAUCACUGGGCGUAAAGGGCGCGUAGGCGGGAUGGCAAGUCAGUCGUGAAAUCUCUCGGCUCAACCGAGAAACGUCGGCUGAUACUGCCGUUCUUGAGGGAUGCAGAGGAGACUGGAAUUCCCGGUGUAGCGGUGAAAUGCGCAGAUAUCGGGAAGAACACCUAUGGCGAAGGCAGCUCUCUGGGACGGUACUGACGCUGAGACGCGAAAGCGUGGGGAGCGAACAGG
rnacentral:rRNA from 1 species